rnacentral:rRNA from 1 species
UACAGAGGUCUCAAGCGUUUGUUCGGAUUCAUUGGGCGUAAAGGGUGCGUAGGCGGCGCGGUAAGUCGGGUGUGAAAUCUCGGAGCUUUAACUCCGAAACUGCAUUCGAUACUGCCGUGCUUGAGGACUGGGAGAGGAGACUGGAAUUUACGGUGUAGCGGUGAAAAUGCGUAGAUAUCGUAAGGAAGACCAGUGGCGAAGGCGGGUCUCUGGACAGUUUCCUGACGCUGAGGGCACGAAGGUCAGGGGGAGCAAAACGGGG